rnacentral:misc_RNA from 1 species
UGCAAACGCAAGCAUCGAGUUUUCGGUGUUUGCGUUUGGCAUUGCCAAGACGAGUAAUAACUCGGCUGUUCUUUAACAAUAUGGAAUGUAGUAAAGGUGUCGCGGAGCAUUGAUGAGAUGCUCGCAAAAACGCGACAUUGGGUUGUGAUUGUAUCAACCAGUAUUACGAGUGAUCGAAAGACCGCUUGGAAA